ensembl:snoRNA
CUGGCCCUGAAUCGAGGCCGGCAGCUUCCUGACACUGUUGGUUUCAAGCAGGAGCCUAAAGAGAUGUGUAGUCAAUUCAUUAGAAACAAACAGCU